rnacentral:rRNA from 1 species
AUUAGUUAGUUGGUAAGGUAACGGCUUACCAAGGCGAUGAUAGCUAGGGGGUCUGAGAGGAUGAUCCCCCACACUGGGACUGAGACACGGCCCAGACUCCUACGGGAGGCAGCAGUGAGGAAUCUUGCGCAAUGGAGGAAACUCUGACGCAGCCACGCCGCGUGCCGGAAGACGGCCCUAUGGGUUGUAAACGGCUUUUAUUUGGGAAGAAUCUGGGAGAUUAGUCUCCCACUGACGGUACCAAUUGAACAAGCACCGGCUAACUCCGUGCCAGCAGCCGCGGUAAUACGGAGGGUGCAAGCGUUGUCCGGAAUCAUUGGGUGUAAAGGGUGCGCAGGCUGGCGCCUAAGUCGGAGGUGAAAUCUUGCCGCUUAACGGUAAAAUUGCCCCCGAUACUGGGUGUCUUGAAUCUGACAGAGGUCGGUGGAAUUCGUAGUGUAGCGGUGAAAUGCAUAGAUAUUACGAAGAACAUCAGUGGCGAAGGCGGCCGGCUGGGUCAGUAUUGACGCUGAGGCACGAGAGCGUGGGGAGCGAACAGGAUUAGAUACCCUGGUAGUCCACGCUGU